ensembl:snRNA U6atac minor spliceosomal RNA
GUAUUGUAUUAAACGAGAGAAGGUUAGCACCAUCCUUGACAAGGGUGGAGGAGGCCCUUAGGCCUGACAACAUACGUGUAGUUAAGGUGUUGCCAACUACUUGGUAGCAUCUAACCAUGUGGGUGC